rnacentral:rRNA from 1 species
CAGCACCUCUAGUGGUCAGGAUGAUUAUUGGGCCUAAAGCAUCCGUAGCCGGCGCUGUAAGUUUUCGGUUAAAUCUGUACGCUCAACGUACAGGCUGCCGGGAAUACUGCAGCGCUAGGGAGUGGGAGAGGUAGACGGUACUCGGUAGGAAGGGGUAAAAUCCUUUGAUCUAUUGAUGACCACCUGUGGCGAAGGCGGUCUACCAGAACACGUCCGACGGUGAGGGAUGAAAGCUGGGGGAGCAAACCGGAUUAGAGACCCGAGUAGUCC